rnacentral:rRNA from 1 species
GACGAACGCUGGCGGCGUGCCUAAUACAUGCAAGUCGAGCGGACCAAAGGGAGCUUGCUCCUGGAGGUCAGCGGCGAACGGGUGAGUAACACGUGGGCAACCUGCCUGUAAGACUGGGAUAACAUCGAGAAAUCGGUGCUAAUACCGGAUAAUAAAAAGAACUGCAUGGUUCUUUUUUGAAAGAUGGUUUCGGCUAUCACUUACAGAUGGGCCCGCGGCGCAUUAGCUAGUUGGUGAGGUAGCGGCUCACCAAGGCAACGAUGCGUAGCCGACCUGAGAGGGUGAUCGGCCACACUGGGAACUGAGACACGGCCCAGACU